AUUGAACGCUGGCGGAAUGCUUUACACAUGCAAGUCGAACGAUGAACCUUAGCUUGCUAAGGGGAUUAGUGGCGAACGGGUGAGUAAUGUAUCGGAACGUAUCCAAUAAUGGGGGAUAACUAGUCGAAAGAUUAGCUAAUACCGCAUACGUCCUACGGGAGAAAGCUAGGGACCUUCGGGCCUGGCGUUAAUGGAGCGGCCGAUAUCUGAUUAGCUAGUUGGUGGGGUAAAGGCUCACCAAGGCGACGAUCAGUAGCUGGUCUGAGAGGACGACCAGCCACACUGGAACCGAGACACGGUCCAGACUCCUACGGGAGGUAGCAGUGGGGAAUUUUGGACAAUGGGCGAAAGCCUGAUCCAGCCAUUCCGCGUGAGUGAAGAAGGCCUUCGGGUUGUAAAGCUCUUUCGCAAGGGAAGAAAACUUAAGCUCUAACAUAGCUUGAGGUUGACGGUACCUUGAUAAGAAGCACCGGCUAACUACGUGCCAGCAGCCGCAGUAA
rnacentral:rRNA from 1 species